UACAGAGGGGGCAAGCGUUAUUCGGAAUUAUUGGGCGUAAAGGGCGCGUAGGCGGCCUGGCAAGUGGAUGGUGAAAUCCCUCGGCUUAACCGAGGAACUGCCAUCCAGACUGCUUGGCUUGAGACCGGGAGAGGUGAGUGGAAUUCCCAGUGUAGCGGUGAAAUGCGUAGAUAUUGGGAGGAACACCAGUGGCGAAGGCGGCUCACUGGACCGGUACUGACGCUGAUGCGCGAAAGCGUGGGAGCAAACGGG
rnacentral:rRNA from 1 species